UGAACGCUGGCGGCGUGCUUAACACAUGCAAGUCGGACGAGAAAGGCUGAUUCGGUGGCCGAGUAAAGUGGCGCACGGUGAGUAACGCGUAGGCAACCUACCCUGUAUGGGGAUAACAGGACGAAAGUUCUGCUAAUACCGGAUGAGACCCUGGUUCGGUGGGACCGGGGUGAAAGUCGGCCUCUCGAAGAAGCUGACGUACGGGGAUGGGCCUGCGUCCUAUCAGCUGGUUGGUAGGGUAGCGGCCUACCAAGGCGACGACGGGUAGCUGGUCUGAGAGGAUGAUCAGCCACACUGGCACUGGAACACGGGCCAGACUCCUACGGGAGGCAGCAGUGAGGAAUUUUGCACAAUGGCCGCAAGGCUGACGCAGCAACGCCGCGUUGGGUGAAGAAGGCCUUCGGGUCGUAAAGCCCUGUCAGGUGGGAAGAAAGGGUCUGUCAAGAAACGGAUGGAUUUUGACGGUACCACCAGAGGAAGCACCGGCUAACUCCGUGCCAGCAGCCGC
rnacentral:rRNA from 1 species